GACGAACGCUGGCGGCGUGCUUAACACAUGCAAGUCGAACGGAAAGGCCCUGCUUUUGUGGGGUGCUCGAGUGGCGAACGGGUGAGUAACACGUGAGUAACCUGCCCUUGACUUUGGGAUAACUUCAGGAAACUGGGGCUAAUACCGGAUAGGAGCUCCUGCUGCAUGGUGGGGGUUGGAAAGUUUCGGCGGUUGGGGAUGGACUCGCGGCUUAUCAGCUUGUUGGUGGGGUAGUGGCUUACCAAGGCUUUGACGGGUAGCCGGCCUGAGAGGGUGACCGGCCACAUGGGGACGGAGAUACGGCCCAGACUCCUACGGGAGGCAGCAGUGGGGAAUAUUGCACAAUGGGCGAAGCCUGAUGCAGCAACGCCGCGUGCGGGAUGACGGCCUUCGGGUUGUAAACCGCUUUCGCCUGUGACGAAGCGUGAGUGACGGUAAUGGGUAAAGAAGCACCGGCUAACUACGUG
rnacentral:rRNA from 1 species